rnacentral:lncRNA from 1 species
GUCCGCGGUGACAGUCUACUUGAGAUUCGGUGACAAAAUGCUGAUAAAUCCCAACGCUUUCGCUGUGCUGCCAAAGACAAAGUUUAGAGACGCGGCGGUGAUUCUCAUGGUUAUCCACCAGGUGAGUAAAAGUGAAAGGAAUAAUCAGAGGUCUUCAUUCUUACUUCUUUGAAGUUUAUCGAGUUUGGACUCCUCGCGAUCCCCAUCUAUAUCAUCUGGGAAAAAUUUCUAGGAGUCCAUCACAAGCAGUGCUACAUCAUGAAAGUGAUAGCCAGGGUACCUGUGAUACUGGGAAUUUGGUUCGUGGCUCUCAUGAUCCCUUUCUUCGGUCCAAUCAACUCCAUAGUCGGAUCCUUCCUCACGAGCUCUAGCAUUUAUAUUUUGCCCUGCGCAGCACACAUUACGUACUAUGGGAUCGGAGCAUCGAGAAGCGUGAGUAGAAAUCCCCGAAAUCCCCGAAAUACCUGAAAUUCCUGAC